AUGUCCACUCUGGAGUAAUUUCAACAUGGCGAAUGACUAGAAAAUAUGCCUUGUUUGGCAAAUGAGGUGAAAGGAGAAACUGCUGUAAACGCUAAACGAGAAAUAUUUGCGUCGUAUAGGUAUUAUUGCAAUUUAAGGGGAUAAACUGAAACGAGCCCUUUGAACGCAAUAAAACAACCACAUGGAGAACAAUUGGUCUGUUCAGGACCUGCAAGAUUCUAGUAGUUUUGCAUUUUUUUUUUGAUAUCAUAUAGGGAAAAUCGAUUAUCGUAGUAAAAACUUUUACAUCCAUGCAGUUCUGGAACAGACCAAAUAUUUGAGUUUACAUAAUACGGUAUGUCAAGUCAACAAUUUGAAAACCUCAACCCAUGGUAGAAGAAUACUGGUAGUCGCAUCGACACAGCUGCUGGGACAGUGAACUGUCAAACCGAUUUUGGAAUUGAAAAUCUUAAAUGAAAAAUCAUUGAAAUUUGUAAAAAUUGUUGAAAAUGCAUGUCAUUAUAACCUCCGAUUUACGUCGUAUAAAAAAAAAACAUAUAAAGAUAUAUUUAUUUUUGACAAAACACAUAUAAAUGUUCCCAAGCGUUGUUGUAUCUACCCAUGGUACAAUGAUAUCAAGGUAGGGCUAUGAUGCCAUAUGAUUUUAAUUUUUUAUUUUCUUGGCUUAAUAUGUCAUCUUUAUUUGUUUAUGUAUGUGUUUUCUUUUCAAUAACAAAAAAAUUGUUCAGAAAACAUUCAAAUUCGGGUGUUUUCAAAAUGUUUAUUUCAAGGUAUGCAUCGACAAAAUCUAAAGUUGUUGCAGGCCGUUCACAUUCGGCGCAAAAAGGCAACAAAUAUAUGGGGCCGGGUUUUUUGGCAAAACCUGUCCACAACCACCGCAGAAAUUAUCCCAAUUCUGUUGGUAGUGCAUCCCAUAAUUGGUCCUCAAAUGGAUCUGCUCAGUUUUCCUGGGUUUUUAGUGAGGAUGAUGAGGAUGCUUCGAGAUUUCAAUUUGCUUGUAAUUUCUGCGGGGGGUGUAGUUUGGGUGGCGAUGGGAUCAAAAUGCCGGAAAUGGUUUGUUAGGGUUCGCUACGUACGAAAUUAGGCUCGAACAGGGUUGAGUAAAAGAGUAUUAUAAAGGUAGUAAAUGACAGGGUGACUCAGGCUAAGAAGUGACUAGGCAGCCCUAUGAUUGCUGAGUAGGUGGGAACCUACUACUACUCCGGGGUGAGCUGAAAUGAGAAUUCACAAUAGAAUAAAAAAUGGCUAUUGACAGUUGAAAAGAAAAAGGAAUGAAAAUUGAAAAUGGCUCAGGAAAAUGGUGUUUCGUGGAAAAUGAGCGUCUGGCGGGAUUCACUGAGAAGAGGGGUAUAAAAGGCUGCGAGCAUAAGAAAAGCCAAAGUUAAGAAUAAGACGUUACCGGUGAAACUUAGCUAGAGAGCAGUGAAGAAGUGGAAAAAUUUAAUUUGUGUGUUGCGAUUUUUUUAUUGUGAAUAUUCCGGUGGUGUAUCAAGCUUUUUUGGAAGCACCGAAAAUUGUCCGGUUUUGGUCAGCACAACGGCGGGAAAUUGCCUUUUCUUUUUGGUAACGCAAGGUAGUGGCAAGUUGUCCACAGGAGAAAAAAGCCAAAAAAAGUUACAUUGAGGGUGUGGAGAUUUGAAUUGUAAACUGGCCAGCUGCAACUUUGAGCUUUUUGCUGUGCCUGUUAUUGAUCCCGCCCAGAACGCCGGCAUUGUAAAAGGACCAGUCAACAAGUCCAGCUUCAUUUCAGGGUUUGCCUGGCGUUCAAAAUCUGUUUCCUCCGGAAAGAAGCGUAAACUGGAAGAAGAGAUAAGAAGAAUUAAUCAAUAACGUUAUAAAUCACUGCUCAGGUAAAAGGUGUCUUACCGUUGUGUUGUCCUUGAUAGAUAUAUUUAUAUAUAUAUGUGACGUCCAUAAAAUUUGCUGUCUCCUUUUUUGGAACUAAAAGAAAAGAAAAAAAGAGUUAAUAAUCAUAAAUUUCGAGAAAAAAAAUAUAAUAUUCAGUAUAAAGAUUUAGUAAUAAGAUAGGUUAUAGUUCUUAGGAUUUAAGUAAUAAUCAGUUUGUAAGGGAAAAAUACCGCGUUUAUUUUCAAAGGCUAGGAGGUGUUACAGUAAAAUUAUCUUGAGUCCUUGUGAUUCGAUCUGAUAGUUUAGGCCGUGGAAUUUUAGCGGCAAUUAGGCCGGUUAAGAGAGCUCUUUUAGGUGGCUAGUAAUUUCGUAUAGACGCGGAAUAUUGCGCGGGAAAAGCAAGGCAAAGGAUAAUAUAUUGGUUUCUACCGAGUAAUUAAAGCCAUAGAUUUAAGAAAGCCCGGUAUUAUUCUUAAUUUGUUUUUUUUUAUACCAUACAGUUUGUCAAUUUUAAUGUAAGAAAAAAAAUAGUAGAGAAAAAAAUUAAGAAAAUAUUUAAAGCUAACUUAUUUUUUUUAAUAAAAUUAAAAAUGAUUCUUUUGUAAACAGUA